AGCAGCCGCGGUAAUUCCAGCUCCAAUAGCGUAUAUUAAAGUUGUUGCAGUUAAAAAGCUCGUAGUUGAAUUUCGGGAUCAGUACGCUGGUCGUGCCUUUGGUAUGUACUGGUGUCACUGAUUCCUCCCUUCUGAAGAACCGUUAUGCCAUUUAUUUGGUGUGGCGGGAAAUCAGGACUGUUACUUUGAAAAAAUUGAGUGUUUAAAGCAGGCUCGCGCUUGAAUACAUUAGCAUGGAAUAAUGAAAUAGGACGUUUGAUUCUUAUUUUGUUGGUUUCUAGGAUCGACGUAAUGAUUAAUAGGGAUAGUUGGGGGCAUUAGUAUUCAAUUGUCAGAGGUGAAAAUUCUUGGAUUUA
rnacentral:rRNA from 1 species